UCUCAAAAGCAAACAUUAAAAAAGAAAUUCUUGUUAAAAAGAAAGUAUCAGCAAGGAGCUAGGAGGUCUGAACAACUAGAUGGAAAUUUGAGAACCAAAAAAUACUUUAGCCAAAGGAAAAGGCUCACUGGACGGACGGAAGAACCCAGCAGAGAGGACCCAGGGAGGUGACAGCAAACUUGAUCAACAGAUGUUCUCCGACCUGAAGAGAAGAUGGGGGGGGGGGUGCGGUGGGGAAUCAACAGUCUCAGGGACCCGUGGGACAGCAGCAGGUCUAACAUCCAUGUCCCAGGAGACAAGAGGGGAACAUGUGGCUGAGAAAAUACUUGCUGAAUCUAAUCUGGGGACGCGGAAGUGAGGGGGAGCAGGGCCCGAGAGGGGCUCACCUGAUGAACGGGCAUGGAUGGGCCGGUUGCCGCUGUGCCCACCUGAAGGUCAGUGUCACUGAAGAGCCUGAGGGAAGGUGUUGGAUGCGCCCCAGACCUGUGGCUCCCACCGCCAUCCCUCUUGGGUAAGGAUUGCUCCCGGGGGCACCAGCUGCCCAGCUGCUGGCCUGGCCCCUGAGGGGAGGCAACUGUCUGCGUCACCGCUGAAGCUGCAGGGGACCUCAGGGGGACCGGGGGUUAUGGGGGGGGGGCGUUUGUUGCCUACUGCUGCGUAACAAAUGGCAGUACACUAAGUGGCUUAAAACCACACACGUGCAUGAUAGCCUGGUGUCCAGGGGUCAGGAGUCCGGAUGCGGCUCCCUGGGGUCCUCUGCUCAGUCCAAGUGUCGGUCAGGCUGUGUUCUCAUCCGGAUGCUCGACAGAAGAACCUGCCUCCCGCCUUACUCAAAUUGUUGGCAGAGUUUAUUUCCUGGGGACCAUGUGACUGAGGCCCGGGCUGUCACCUCAGGUCCUAAGGACUACUUGUGGCUCCUAGAGGCCACUCACGGUUCACACCAAGCGGGCUUCUGCGCCAUGGCUGCUGACCUCACUCGGCCAGCAAGCCUCUCUCUGCAUCCGGGAGGCUAAGACAGAGUCUCAUACAAUGUACCCUCAUCCAGGGGUGACAUUCUGACCCCUUAACAGUAAGAGUAUGAAUGUGGUUAGAAGCAAGUCACCGGUGCCAUCCACACUGGACAGGAAGGGGAACCCCACAAAGCGUGGACACCAGGAGGUGAAAAUCACUGGGGUCACCUUAGUGUCUGCCUGCCGCCGGGGGACACGGACUGCCUUGGCUGUGGACUGUGGUCCUCAGGCCUGGGGGCAGCCUGUGCUUGGGUCUGGCUGUUCCACCCCCGGCUACCACGACAUGUGCCGCCGCGGGUGCAGGAAACCGGGGGUUCUGGGGAGCUGGUCGGAGGGCCCCAAGGUCUUCCUUCACUCUCCCGUUGCUGGCCCCAUCUCAAGUUUGCUGUGUGACCUCAGGCAGGGUGCUUGAGCCCUCUGUGCCUUGAUGUCUUCAACUACAAAAUGAGGUUUGGAGGCGCCUGGGUGGCUCCAUCGGUUAAGCGUCCGACUUCGGCUCAGGUCAUGCUCUCACGGUUCGUGGGUUCAAGCCCCGCGUGGGGCUCUGUGCUGACAGCUCGGGGCCUGGAGCCUGCCUCGGAUUCUGGGUCUCCCUCUCUCUCUGCCCCUCCCCCACUCGAACUCGGUCUCUCUCUGUCUCUCAAAAAUAAAUAAACGUUAAAAAACUAUUUCAAAACAAGGUUCGGAGGAACCCCAGCCUCAUGGGUGGCUGUGAGGACAUAAAGUUCAUGAAGGGUGUGAGUUCUGAUCAUGCCAGGAAGUUCACAAAUAUUUGCCAUUGCUGUCAUCAUUAUUCUCUGCCUCUGUUUCCCAACGGACCCUGUUUAGUUCUCCACGAAUGUCCUCCCGAUUCUGCAGGAACCUUUGCGUCUGUGGGCACCGUGUGAAGCCUUAAGUGUUUUGGCAACAGUGUCUGGGUGCUGACAUCCUGGAAGUCAAUCUCAUACUGUACCACUUGGAGGCCGUCCUUGUCCUGGCAGUGGUAGAAACCCGUCUGGGAGGGCAACGGACUCCGAAUGAGAACGCCGCUGUCAGGUAUGAUUUCCACGUUGGAAGCACUGGAGAGUGUGUGGGACCGGCUGGUCCCGUCUUGCAGGAAGAAGUACCACUGUGACCCAGAAGAGUUGCAGGGCAAGAAGACGUCAUUGUCCGAGAGGAGGGCUCUUUGGCAUUGCUUCUCGUCGGGACAGCUGAAGGAGACAUAGAACCCUGGCAAGGGGACAGCAAAGCUGAGCAGCAGCCACAGGGUGGUUAGCAUGGUGGACUGGGACUGUGGCGGUGGGCGGGGCACCACGCUGGCCAUUGUGAAGUCACCCAUGAAACCCAGGCCGGCCCUGGGCAGCAGGCUGAAUUGUAGCUCACCUCACGGGUAUGCGAGGUCACAAUCCCCAUUUGACUGGUGACAGUUUAACAACUCUACCUAAUAUCUGUUCCAAGCCCUCCACUCUGCUGGGAUAGGAGGAAACUUAAUUUGUCUAUUCAGGAUUUUCUCCACCAUUCCCUGCUCUGGCAUUAACGUGUCACAUGUGAAUGUUCAACACAUUUUUCCUGAACACCUACUAUGUUCUGUACACAAUUCUUAGUGCAGGGGGUGGAGAGGUGAAUAAAUUCUGUCUGGUUACCAUUCUUAUUUCCUACCCCUCUCCCCCAGCCUCUCCUCCCCAGACAUGCUGGCCUCCCUGCCACCUUCUGAAAACAUCAGGCAAGCAAAGGGCUCCUGCCCCAGGACCUUUGCAUGUGCUGGUCCCAGACUCUCGCCACAGAUAUCUGCAUGAUUCAACUCAUCUUAAACAAGCAAAUAUUUUUCUCAGUGGUCCCCUUUCCAAACCCUUUCCUAAACUCCUUCUCAGUACUGAAAUUAAAAACAAUUAUUGUGCAGGAUUG